UGCUUAUUUCUGUACCUACUACGAGGCUAAACCUUGUGAGCUGGGCUGCCAGCCCACGUAGCCGAAAAUAUGUUCCUUAGCUCAGCUCUCGUGGUUUCAGAUCGAGAUUCUCUUCCGAGAACUCCGCAUCUACCGCCGCCGGAAGAGGGCAGCCGCGCCGGACGGCCUCUGCGCGCCACCGAGGGUCGGGGGAUCACCACAUCUGCAUCGCCAUGAGGAGCCGAGGGGAUGGAGUCCCGCAUGGCGGAGAAGGCAGCGAAAGUCGACAUAAGCAUGGGUGUAAGGACAAGUACGCUGUCAACACGGUGGAGGCUGCUGCCUGAGCUCAACAUUGAUGUCAGGCAUUUCCUACCCGUUCCACGCCCAGAUUCGGUUGUAGAAAAUGUCAGUCAGGAAGCUAUGGUAGCUCUAACCGAAGCAGCGUGUUUAUUCGCCAAAUCUCAGAAAGAAUCCACAAUCACAAGACUGUAGAUUAAACUAUACUUGGUCAGCACUUUUUUGAGCGACAUUGGCUCACUAUUAGGUGUGUGAUUGAUAGGGGUUUGCCGGAAGAUUUGGACCUUGCCCUUCUCGAUGAGUUGAGCCCUAGUGACUCUUCCGAUCUGCACAUGCUACAGAUUGCAAACGACGUGUAUGAUUUUUUCAAUGCCUACCCUAGUGUGUUUCGUUGCCUCCCCA